rnacentral:rRNA from 1 species
GUAGGAAUAUUGGACAAUGGACGCAAGUCUGAUCCAGCCAUGCCGCGUGAAGGAUUAAGGUCCUCUGGAUUGUAAACUUCUUUUAUAAGGGACGAAAAAAGGCUUUUCUAAGUCGUCUGACGGUACCUUAUGAAUAAGCACCGGCUAACUCCGUGCCAGCAGCCGCGGUAAUACGGAGGGUGCAAGCGUUAUCCGGAUUCACUGGGUUUAAAGGGUGCGUAGGCGGGCAGGUAAGUCAGUGGUGAAAUCCUAGAGCUUAACUCUAGAACUGCCAUUGAUACUAUCUGUCUUGAAUAUUGUGGAGGUAAGCGGAAUAUGUCAUGUAGCGGUGAAAUGCUUAGAUAUGACAUAGAACACCUAUUGCGAAGGCAGCUUACUACGCAUAUAUUGACGCUGAGGCACGAAAGCGUGGGGAUCAAACAGGAUUAGAAACCCCGGUAGUCC